UUCCUUUACUUUCCUUUCAAUUCCUUCCUUCCUUCCUUCCUUCCUUCCCUUCCCUUCCCUUCCCUUCCUGAUUUUGGACUAAUUACUCUAGCUUAAUCAGAAUUACUGGGUCUAGGUAAUUCUGGAAUACAUAAUUCAAUUCUAAAGUAACAUAUAAACAACAAAGUGAGAUCUUGAGAAAUAAGACAGAUAAAGCAAGUCAUAGAAGGCCAAGAUCUGCAUCUAAGACAUAACUAUUUUUAAUUAGCAAAUGGCAGACAUUGUGCAGAACAAAAAUAAAAUUACACAAUUGAGAAAAACAGCCCUAAAAAUAAAGAAAAUAUCCCUACUCCUUCUGUCUGUGCUUUUCUUGCCAGUUUUACCCUAUCGGUUCUUCUUCUCUUAAGACCUGUGCAGUAGAGGACCUGAAUCCUAAGACCAGAAUCCAUCAUUCUGUUCCUACAAUCCUUGCCUCCCUCACAACCCAUAGCCAAGAGCAACUGGGAGAAAGAUAUUUUGAGUGCAUCUUCCAGUCUAAAUUUGACCUCUCUGUUUCUCACUCAAAGAGUCACCAUCUACAUAACCUGCAGGCACCUAUGCCUGCUAUCAUUUCUCAUAUGGAAUAGCAACAUAAAAAGAAUGAGUAUGCUUGUUGCUUUAGUGUAAAUAGGCUCCUAAACAAGGGCAAAUAUGAAAAAAAAAGUUCAAAGCAAAAAAAACAACAAGUCAGGUUUGGAGAUCUUGUUUUCUUUUUGUUAUUAUUUGCUCAUCAAGGACAAUGUGUAAAUGCAUCCUUCUCCAAUCAAGGGUACUCCAGAUGUCUUAUCCAGAAUUGAAGGAGCUCUAAUCUGAACACUGACUUUGUAAUAUCGCAAAGGUGCUUUCUUUGAAAAGGCAUAUGGACUUUCUC